ensembl:rRNA 5S_rRNA 5S ribosomal RNA
CACUACCCUCUCACCCUGCUCUGGACACUCUUGCUUGAUCUCAGAAGCUAAGCAGGGUUGGGCCUGGUUAAUACUUGGAUAGGAGACUGCCUGGGAAUACCAUGUGCUGUAGGCU